rnacentral:rRNA from 1 species
ACUUCGGGCUGAACCACACCGUAAGUUUCUUGGAACAGGACAUCAUAGAGGGUGAGAAUCCCGUGUCUUGGUGUCGGAUCAAACCAUGUGAAGUGUCUCCGACGAGUCGAGUUGUUUGGGAAUGCAGCUCAGAAUGGGUGGUAAAUUUCCUCUAAAGCUAAAUAUUGGCGAGAGAGCGAUAGCGCACGAGUAGAGUGAUCGAAAGAUGACAAGCC